UACGAAGGGUGCAAACGUUGCUCGGAAUUAUUGGGCGUAAAGCGCACGUAGGCGGCUUGGCAAGUCGGAUGUGAAAUCCCUCGGCUCAACCAAGGAAGUGCAUCCGAAACUGCUGAGCUUGAGUACUUAAGAGGAUCGCGGAAUUCCCGGUGUAGAGGUGAAAUUCGUAGAUAUCGGGAGGAACACCAGUGGCGAAGGCGGCGAUCUGGGAAGAUACUGACGCUGAGGUGCGAAAAGCGUGGGGAGCAAACAGG
rnacentral:rRNA from 1 species